CACCAUUCAAGUCAUUAUUUCCAAGACCCUAAAAGAAAUCCCAAAGUUCUUCUCUCAAAUAUUUCUCUCUCUAGAACUUGAAGAAGAAACAAGAAUUCAAGCUAGGAUCAAGGUCAAGUCUCCAAUCCUCAAGCAUUUGUGAGAUUUGUUAUCAAAGAAUCCUUUCAUCCCUGGAGCCCCCAUGAUUUCCCCAAUUUCGAAGAAGAAUUCCCUAAUUCUAGUUAGGGUUUCUUCUAAUGUUAUGGAUUUUGAUCCAAAUGAGUGGAUUAUGACUGUUUAUGAUUGAAUUGAUAGAAUUACAUGUUUUUAGGAUGAAUUUACAUGUACCGAUGUCUAACUGCCACGACCCAGACCAUCGUGAUUGACACCCACACAAACCCUCCGAUGGGAGAACCAUUACUAC
rnacentral:lncRNA from 1 species